AGAGUUUGAUCAUGGCUCAGGAUGAACGCUGGCGGCGUGCCUAAUACAUGCAAGUCGAACGCGCAGCGAGAGGUGCUUGCACCUUUCAAGCGAGUGGCGAACGGGUGAGUAACACGUGGAUAACCUGCCUCAAGGCUGGGGAUAACAUUUGGAAACAGAUGCUAAUACCGAAUAAAACUUAGUAUCGCAUGAUAUAAAGUUAAAAGGCGCUACGGCGUCACCUAGAGAUGGAUCCGCGGUGCAUUAGUUAGUUGGUGGGGUAAAGGCUUACCAAGACAAUGAUGCAUAGCCGAGUUGAGAGACUGAUCGGCCACAUUGGGACUGAGACACGGCCCAAACUCCUACGGGAGGCUGCAGUAGGGAAUCUUCCACAAUGGGCGCAAGCCUGAUGGAGCAACGCCGCGUGUGUGAUGAAGGCUUUCGGGUCGUAAAGCACUGUUGUAUGGGAAGAAAUGCUAAAAUAGGGAAUGAUUUUAGUUUGACGGUACCAUACCAGAAAGGGACGGCUAAAUACGUGCCAGCAGCCGCAGUAAUACGUAUGUCCCGAGCGUUAUCCGGAUUUAUUGGGCGUAAAGCGAGCGCAGACGGUUGAUUAAGUCUGAUGUGAAAGCCCGGAG
rnacentral:rRNA from 1 species